rnacentral:tRNA from 2 species
UGCAAUGUAGUUUAUAAAAAUGCUUAUUUUACACGUAAGUGUUUCCCAGCAGGGACUUUGCGA